rnacentral:rRNA from 1 species
GAGAAUGUUAUCACGGGAGACACACGGCGGGUGCUAACGUCCGUCGUGAAGAGGGAAACAACCCAGACCGCCAGCUAAGGUCCCAAAGUCAUGGUUAAGUGGGAAACGAUGUGGGAAGGCCCAGACAGCCAGGAUGUUGGCUUAGAAGCAGCCAUCAUUUAAAGAAAGCGUAAUAGCUCACUGGUCGAGUCGGCCUGCGCGGAAGAUGUAACGGGGCUAAACCAUGCACCGAAGCUGCGGCAGCGACGCUUAUGCGUUGUUGGGUAGGGGAGCGUUCUGUAAGCCUGCGAAGGUGUGCUGUGAGGCAUGCUGGAGGUAUCAGAAGUGCGAAUGCUGACAUAAGUAACGAUAAAGCGGGUGAAAAGCCCGCUCGCCGGAAGACCAAGGGUUCCUGUCCAACGUUAAUCGGGGCAGGGUGAGUCGACCCCUAAGGCGAGGCCGAAAGGCGUAGUCGAUGGGAAACAGGUUAAUAUUCCUGUACUUGGUGUUACUGCGAAGGGGGGACGGAGAAGGCUAUGUUGGCCGGGCGACGGUUGUCCCGGUUUAAGCGUGUAGGCUGGUUUUCCAGGCAAAUCCGGAAAAUCAAGGCUGAGGCGUGAUGACGAGGCACUACGGUGCUGAAGCAACAAAUGCCCUGCUUCCAGGAAAAGCCUCUAAGCAUCAGGUAACAUCAAAUCGUACCCCAAACCGACACAGGUGGUCAGGUAGAGAAUACCAAGGCGCUUGAGAGAACUCGGGUGAAGGAACUAGGCAAAAUGGUGCCGUAACUUCGGGAGAAGGCACGCUGAUAUGUAGGUGAAGUCCCUUGCGGAUGGAGCUGAAAUCAGUCGAAGAUACCAGCUGGCUGCAACUGUUUAUUAAAAACACAGCACUGUGCAAACACGAAAGUGGACGUAUACGGUGUGACGCCUGCCCGGUGCCGGAAGGUUAAUUGAUGGGGUCAGCGCAAGCGAAGCUCUUGAUCGAAGCCCCGGUAAACGGCGGCCGUAACUAUAACGGUCCUAAGGUAGCGAAAUUCCUUGUCGGGUAAGUUCCGACCUGCACGAAUGGCGUAAUGAUGGCCAGGCUGUCUCCACCCGAGACUCAGUGAAAUUGAACUCGCUGUGAAGAUGCAGUGUACCCGCGGCAAGACGGAAAGACCCCGUGAACCUUUACUAUAGCUUGACACUGAACAUUGAGCCUUGAUGUGUAGGAUAGGUGGGAGGCUUUGAAGUGUGGACGCCAGUCUGCAUGGAGCCGGCCUUGAAAUACCACCCUUUAAUGUUUGAUGUUCUAACGUGGACCCGUGAUCCGGGUUGCGGACAGUGUCUGGUGGGUAGUUUGACUGGGGCGGUCUCCUCCUAAAGAGUAACGGAGGAGCACGAAGGUUGGCUAAUCCUGGUCGGACAUCAGGAGGUUAGUGCAAUGGCAUAAGCCAGCUUGACUGCGAGCGUGACGGCGCGAGCAGGUGCGAAAGCAGGUCAUAGUGAUCCGGUGGUUCUGAAUGGAAGGGCCAUCGCUCAACGGAUAAAAGGUACUCCGGGGAUAACAGGCUGAUACCGCCCAAGAGUUCAUAUCGACGGCGGUGUUUGGCACCUCGAUGUCGGCUCAUCACAUCCUGGGGCUGAAGUAGGUCCCAAGGGUAUGGCUGUUCGCCAUUUAAAGUGGUACGCGAGCUGGGUUUAGAACGUCGUGAGACAGUUCGGUCCCUAUCUGCCGUGGGCGCUGGAGAACUGAGGGGGGCUGCUCCUAGUACGAGAGGACCGGAGUGGACGCAUCACUGGUGUUCGGGUUGUCAUGCCAAUGGCACUGCCCGGUAGCUAAAUGCGGAAGAGAUAAGUGCUGAAAGCAUCUAAGCACGAAACUUGCCCCGAGAUGAGUUCUCCCUGACCCUUUAAGGGUCCUGAAGGAACGUUGAAGACGACGACGUUGAUAGGCCGGGUGUGUAAGCGCAGCGAUGCGUUGAGCUAACCGGUACUAAUGAACCGUGAGGCUUAACCUUACAACGCCGAAG